rnacentral:rRNA from 1 species
UACAGAGGGUGCUAGCGUUGUUCGGAAUCAUUGGGCGUAAAGGGCGUGUAGGCGGUUUGUUAAGUCAUGUGUGAAAUCCCUCGGCUCAACCGGGGAACGACGCAUGAAACUGGCAAGCUAGAGUACCAAAGAGGGGGGUGGAAUUCCCGGUGUAGCGGUGAAAUGCGUAGAUAUCUGGAGGAACACCGGUGGCGAUGGCAGGUCUCUGGGCAUUAACUGACGCUGAGGAGCGAAAGCAUGGGGAGCGAACAGG